UCAAUCGACCACGCCUCGCAUCCCCAUCUGGAUCCGCCGCCUCCCCACCGCCGGCCCGCAUCGUCCGUCGCGCCCUCCUCCCCGUGUCGUCCGAGUCCUCCACGUGCAGCUUGCCGACGCCGAGGCCCAGGCCGUCUCGAGCACGUGCCACAGACUGCGACGGGCUGCGCCACGGGCAACAGGUGGUAGGACGAGGAGAGGGUGGUGGAGACAGCGGAGGAGCUGGUAGGAGGAGGAGGAGAGGAAGGUGGAGGCGGCAGAGGAGCCAGUAGGAGUAGGAGAGGAGGGGACGAGGAUGACGGGGACAGAUCAGACUACACGCUGGAGGACGAGGGCAUCACACCGCCUACCGAUUCCUUCUUCCUCGCGUCCCGAUUACAUGGCCGUCGCUGCGGUUGCCCAACAUCGACCACCUUGCCCCGAUUAGCUCUUGGAUACGCGGACGACCGGAUGUGCUCCAGCGCGGCCGCCUAUGGGCUGCUCCCACGAUGAAUCGGCAACUAAGCUCGGGGACGUGAUAUGGUGCUCGGUGUAGGUGGCCAUGGUGGACCUGAAGCUGGCUUAGACAAGCGAUGGGAUCGAGCGGCGGCGCUCCCGAUCCGAUCGGGAGCAGGACGACGGCGGCGAGCACAUGGCGGACGAGAGGAGCAGGAGGGGAGGCGCGGAGGCGGGGCCAUAUGCGUCGGACGCGCGCGUUCGCCCGCAGUCAGCGCGGACACAGCGGCCGUCCAUGGCGGCUCGGGUCGAUGUAGGAGGACGAGGGGAGGAGCUCGCGAGGCCCGGCACCGGUAAUGGAGCGGAGGCGGCUGGAUCUAGCGAUUCUGGAGGGGCUGGCGACGAGCGGCUCCAUGGGCGGCGACCUGCGGGGUUCAAGCAGCGGCUGCCAUGAAGGUUUGUCAGAUAUACUUCCAUUUUAUGCAUGGGUUGAUCCCUCCCCAGGAUACUGUCAUGGUUUGCAUUUCAAUGGAGCAUUGCAUCAUUUUGCUUUAAUUAUUUAAACUGCCUAAAUGGUACAGGUUGAGUGUAGGUAUGAGCGAUCUGGUUUCCCCUUUUGUUGUUCUAUACGAGAAUGAUCCAGAUGCCUUUUGGUGUUUUGAGAUGCUACUGAGAAGGAUGGUAAUUUGUAUCUAUGUCAAACCAUACUGGCAUAUGUUAGGUUGGUAUUUUUGCAUGACUUAAUGCAUGAUAUAAGUUCUGUUGCAUCUCAGCGUGAAAAUUUCCACCUCGAGGGAUCGACAGGAGUUAUGAAGCGGUUGGAAGCAUUGUGGAAGAUCAUGGAAUUGACAGAUACGGAACUAAUAAACUGGUAAGGAUCAAACAGGCAAAUGGAGUCCUAAUUUUCUAUUGGAAAUUCACAUGACAUGGUUCUAUGUUUGAGGCUUCAACAGACUGCGUAUGCCUCAAGAUUUGAGGUGUGAGUGUGCGACUUGAUUUUCUGUGUUGUUACAGUUAAUUGGUAAUGGAUAAAUCAAAUUUUGUUAUGUAGAUUGGUAAAACUAAUUAAGUUAAUUUUUUUCUUAUUUAUGGGUUAUAAUUUCUUACUCCAAAAGCAGAUUUGUGUAUGUUAAAUAGAUUUUCAUAGGGAUAUAAGACUAGAAGUGUGGAUGUUUGUCAAUUUUCAGAGGAAAAUAAGCAACAGAAUAGACAUAAAAACAUGGCUGCUUUGGGAAAUUUUGGAUGUUAUCCAUGCUCAUGCAUGAUGGUAGUUGUUGCGAAGAUCAUCUUAUCUAUCCAUCAUGAAUCAUCCCAGCACAACAAAUUGUCUAUUUAGUUCAUCACAAACACCAGUAUCACGGGGAUAAUGGAGGUAAAUCAAAGGUCAAUGCUGAACCCUUGGUAUCUCCUCCAUGUCAUGUUAGGACAAGAAAACAACCCAAGGGGCAUCAAACCAUUUACGCUCAGCUAGCUUCAGUUUUUUUGUUUUUGCAUAAUUAAGAUGACAAGUUUGCAGACAUAUGAUACUAGCUAGCUAAUUUUAAUCCCAUUACAAUGUUAUAGAUAGCUUCCUGAGCAUACAUGCGUCAUUGCUCCAUGUUUUUACACCAGCAAGUGACACAUUUUGAACUAACCUGGCCCUUUCGCCGGGCUGACAAAGUUGAGUUUUUUUUCCAAUUUUGCUGAGGAGUCCGCAUACAUAUGCUGUGUGCGCGCGCCCUCUGCUCAGACACCGUCAAGACUUUUGACCUCAGUCAACAAUCUGCCGAAGAUAACGUGGCAGCCACCAACUUGUGGUUGCUCAGCGUGCGCUCCUUCCGGUUAAUACAGCGACCAUGACAAGAUGACGGUUGUGGUCUUGGCAUUUAGGAUGGAGGCCUUCAACUGCAUUUUCUCAUGGACGAACUGACC